CCGAGACUGGACACAAUUCCUGAAUGCCCCCACCGAAGUACUGGUCUUAGAAUUCUCAGGGAGGAGAUUCCAUGAACGUACAGUUGCCGGUAAAAAAUAAUUUGAAUACAGGGCUGUUCUUGUUCGAACAGGGGGGAUUAGGGACGAGUUUCUCGUAUUAUGAUAAUGUAUGGCUGCAUGGGACUCUGGAACUAAGGUUGAUAAAUAUUCCGGAGUAAUAUUAUUUUUCAUCUUGUAAAAAUAAAUUAACCUGUGGG
rnacentral:lncRNA from 1 species